UGGGGGAUAUUGCACAAUGGGGGAAACCCUGAUGCAGCGACGCCGCGUGUAGGAAGACGGUCCUCUGGAUUGUAAACUACUGUCUUCAGGGACGAAUAAUGACGGUACCUGAGGAGGAAGCUCCGGCUAACUACGUGCCAGCAGCCGCGGUAAUACGUAGGGAGCGAGCGUUGUCCGGAAUUACUGGGUGUAAAGGGAGCGUAGGCGGGACUGCAAGUUGGAUGUGAAAGGUAUCGGCUCAACCGAUAGACUGCAUUCAAAACUGCGGUUCUUGAGUGAAGUAGAGGCAGGCGGAAUUCCUAGUGUAGCGGUGAAAUGCGUAGAUAUUAGGAGGAACACCAGUGGCGAAGGCGGCCUGCUGGGCUUUUACUGACGCUGAGGCUCGAAAGUGUGGGGAGCAAACA
rnacentral:rRNA from 1 species